GGGGGUGUCUUGGUUUCGACGGGAAUACGUUUGGUAUGGAGUGCAGUCGACUGAUCUCGUUAACGAUCACCAAAAAAUAUCUGGAAACAGAACACAAAACUACGCUUUUGCUGCUUAAUUAAGCCAUUGUCCCGCUAAUAGGGAAGCAAGCCAUCACUUAAAACUGGGUCUCUAAGUUUUAAACUGGUGCAAUAAGAGAGAAUAAGGGUGUAGGAUGUCUAUAAAUAUACCACGAAAACAAUAUAGAAUAGCUUUGGUUUUAUUCGUUUGCUUAUUGAACCAAGGCGAAACUUUAAAGCAAACUAAACUGUAGGACUCUGUAUGGGGCGAUUUUCGGACGCGGGUUCAAAUCCCGUCACCUCCACCA
rnacentral:tmRNA from 3 species